AAGUAUGCUGUAUUGGUUUGGAACCAAUAAUACACAUGUACUUCUGUAUCAAUAACCAAUGUAAUCCAAUAACAAUGAAAUUCGAUUACACGAUAAAUCUUAGGCUGAAGUUUACCAGUAUGCACUGAAUUAUAUGUUUGAGGACUUUGACUGUGAUUCAUUGGAACUAUUGUUGCAAUAUAUGUACCAGAACUACGUACAUGUCUUUUGUUAAAAUGUGGUACAUCUACUUAUCGUAUUAAACAAUGCAAAUUUUUAAACAUAAAUUUGAAUGCUUGUUUUAUGUAAACCUUUUUUUUAUGUUUUGUAACGUAGUUUUCAAUGAUUAAAUUGUUGUUAAAUUGCUUAUUUUUACACACUCUCAUAGAAUGCUCAAGCCUCUGUGAUAUGUGAAUUGUUCAGGUAUAUUUGUGUUCAUUUUUUCUUGACAUAUUUUGUCAACAUAAAGUUCAUUAUCGGUGUCAUUUUUGGAGAGUGUGUUUAAUUUUUUUAAAAGGUUAUUUUACUGGUGAAGUAUAUAGCAUAUGAUGAAAUUCAUUUGAAAAGAAAAUAAAAUUAUUUAAA
rnacentral:misc_RNA from 1 species